GGAGCAUCAAGAGGCCUCAGUGCCAUGGUACCAGCAGGGACCUUUGAGCCCAACUGGCUCCCCGAAGUUCCAGCUGCAGCAUGGUCAGUGCCAGAGUAAAGGAAAGAAAAAGAAGAAAGGAUUUCCUGUUUAGUUAAAGUAUGAAGUCUUGAGCUGGCAUCUUGGGUGAAAGCAGUCUAUCUUAACGUCAGCGGCUUCUCUUCCUGGUCAAUGUGGUGUGGAGGUCUCCAGCAUUUGCGUAGGACCAGAUGUCAGGUGGAACCUUCCUCAGCUGUGAGAUGUGUACCCAGGGUUCAGUGCCUUCUAGUUUCAUAGCAGUGUCAGUGUCAGGAGCACUUGGUAAGUUCCUCUCUCUGAGUCUCACUUCUCCAAAAACAUCAGAGUAAAACAGUAACUGUCUGUAAAUG
rnacentral:lncRNA from 1 species